CUGAACCAGCCAAGUAGCGUGAAGGAUGACUGCCCUAUGGGUUGUAAACUUCUUUUAUAAGGGAAUAAAGUGAGGGACGUGUCCCUUUUUGUAUGUACCUUAUGAAUAAGGAUCGGCUAACUCCGUGCCAGCAGCCGCGGUAAUACGGAGGAUCCAAGCGUUAUCCGGAUUUAUUGGGUUUAAAGGGAGCGUAGGUUGACAUAUAAGUCAGUUGUGAAAGUUUGCGG
rnacentral:rRNA from 1 species